rnacentral:rRNA from 1 species
UGGCGAACGGGUGAGUAACACGUGGGCAACCUGCCCCUCGCAGGGGGACAACCGGAGGAAACUCCGGCUAAUACCCCGUACGCUUGUUGGAUCGCAUGGUCCGGCAAGGAAAGGUAGCUUCGGCCAUCCGGCGAGGGAUGGGCCCGCGUUGCAUUAGCUAGUUGGUGGGGUAACGGCCUACCAAGGCUACGAUGCGUAGCUGGUCUGAGAGGAUGAUCAGCCACACUGGGACUGAGACACGGCCCAGACUCCUACGGGAGGCAGCAGCCAGGAAUCUUGGGCAAUGGGCGAAAGCCUGACCCAGCAACACCGUGUGGGUGACGAAGGCCUUAGGGUCGUAAAGCCCUGUUGAUAGGGACGAAGGGCGAAGGGUUAAUAGCCCCUAGCUUGACGGUACCUUUCGAGGAAGCCCCGGCUAACUACGUGCCAGCAGCCGCGGUAAUACGUAGGGGGCGAGCGUUGUCCGGAAUUAUUGGGCGUAAAGAGCGUGUAGGCGGUUCGGUAAGUCUGCUGUGAAAUCUUGGGGCUCAACCCCGAGCGUGC